rnacentral:rRNA from 1 species
UACGAAGGGGGCUAGCGUUGCUCGGAAUUAUUGGGCGUAAAGAGCUCGUAGGCGGUUUGUCGCGUCGAAUGUGAAAACCCGGGGCUCAACCCCGGGCCUGCAUUCGAUACGGGCAGACUAGAGUUCGGUAGGGGAGUCUGGAAUUCCUGGUGUAGCGGUGAAAUGCGCAGAUAUCAGGAGGAACACCGGUGGCGAAGGCAGCUCGCUGGGACGGUACUGACGCUGAGGCGCGAAAGCGUGGGGAGCAAACAGG